AGUGAACGCUGGCGGUAGGCCUAACACAUGCAAGUCGAACGGCAGCACAGGAGAGCUUGCUCUCUGGGUGGCGAGUGGCGGACGGGUGAGGAAUACAUCGGAAUCUACUUUUUCGUGGGGGAUAACGUAGGGAAACUUACGCUAAUACCGCAUACGACCUACGGGUGAAAGCAGGGGAUCUUCGGACCUUGCGCGAUUGAAUGAGCCGAUGUCGGAUUAGCUAGUUGGCGGGGUAAAGGCCCACCAAGGCGACGAUCCGUAGCUGGUCUGAGAGGAUGAUCAGCAACACUGGAACGGAGACACGGUCCAGACGCCUACGGGAGGCAGCAGUGGGGAAUAUUGGACAAUGGGCGCAAGCCUGAUCCAGCCAUACCGCGUGGGUGAAGAAGGCCUUCGGGUUGUAAAGCCCUUUUGUUGGGAAAGAAAUCCAGCUGGUUAAUACCCGGUUGGGAUGACGGUACCCAAAGAAUAAGCACCGGCUAACUUCGUGCCAGCAGCCGCCGUAA
rnacentral:rRNA from 1 species